UACGAAGGGGGCUAGCGUUGUUCGGAAUUACUGGGCGUAAAGCGCGUGUAGGCGGGUUUUUAAGUCAGGGGUGAAAUGCCAAGGCUCAACCUUGGAACUGCCUUUGAUACUGGAGACCUUGAGUCCGGGAGAGGUGAGUGGAAUUGCGAGUGUAGAGGUGAAAUUCGUAGAUAUUCGCAAGAACACCAGUGGCGAAGGCGGCUCACUGGCCCGGAACUGACGCUGAGACGCGAAAGCGUGGGGAGCAAACAGG
rnacentral:rRNA from 1 species